rnacentral:rRNA from 1 species
AAUUCCGGGCUUGCUCGGGAGAGUAAAGUGGCGAACGGGUGAGUAACGCGUGGGUAACCUGCCCCUGAAUCUGGAAUAACUUCGCGAAAGCGAGGCUAAUACCGGAUAUUGUCCCAGGGACUAUGGUCCUUGUGAUGAAAGAUGACCUCUUCACGAAAGUUGUCGUUCAGGGAGGGGCCCGCGUACCAUUAGCUAGUUGGUAGGGUAAUGGCCUACCAAGGCGAUGAUGGUUAGCUGGUCUGAGAGGAUGACCAGCCACACUGGCACUGAAACACGGGCCAGACUCCUACGGGAGGCAGCAGUGAGGAAUUUUGCGCAAUAGGGGAAACCCUGACGCAGCAACGCCGCGUGAGUGAAGAAGGCCCUCGGGUCGUAAAGCUCUGUCAAGUGGGAAAAAAGCUUCCUGGUGAAUAGCCAGGAAGACUGAUGGUACCAUUGAAGGAAGCACCGGCUAACUCCGUGCCAGCAGCCGCGGUAAUACGGAGGGUGCAAGCGUUGUUCGGAAUUACUGGGCGUAAAGGGCGUGUAGGCGGUGUGGUAAGUCAGAUGUGAAAGCCCUGGGCUUAACCCAGGAAGUGCAUUUGAAACUGCCAUGCUUGAGUAUGGGAGAGGAGAGUGGAAUUCC